CAAAAUAGAACUGAGCUCACCCAAACAACGGUCGACAAACAGAACAAUAUUGAAGACUGAGGUAAAUACAGAUCACAGGAAACACGCACACCCACAGACAGUCAGGCACUGUGUGUGCUGGGCUGAGCGUAUGUUGCGUAUCUCUAACAAUAUGGCCGACGUGUGUGUGUGUGUGUGUGUGUUUGUACACAGUAUGUGUAUGCGUGUGUCCGCUCUCUGAUGGUGGGCCUGUCCAAACCACAGAGUCUGGUCUUAAUUCAGCCAGGCGCUAACCCUGGGCUAUUCAUACCUCAGGAAUGCAGGCUUCUCAAUGCCAUCAUCCAGUAGCUGCUAUAUUUAGCAGCAUUUCUAAUGCAGCAACCGUCACAUUGCAGCCUUUUAGAAAAGGGAGGGAGGGAUGGAGGGACAAAAACUGCAGUGGCCUCAUCUGAAGAGAUUGUGGGAUAGAGGGAGGAUGAGACACUUCCAAUGUCAUUAACUUCUCUAGGAUAGGGGGCAGCAUUUGUAAUUUUGUAUGAAAAGCUACUCAUCCCCAGAAGAUAAGAUAUGCAUAUUACUGGUAGAUUUGGAUAGAAAACACUCUGAAGUUUCUAAAACUGUUUGAAUCAUGUCUGUGAGUAUAACAGAACUUAUGUAGCAGGCGAAACCCAGAGGACAAACCAUUCAGAUGUUUUUUUGUUUUUGAGGUCACUCUUUUCAAUGGGUUUUCAUUGGGAAUCCAGAUUUGUAAGGGACUUGCUUGCAGUUCCUACCGCUUCCACUGGAUGUCACCAGUCUUUAGAAAUUGGUUGAGGUUAUUCCUUUGUGUAAUGAAGAAGUACGGCCAUCUUGAACGAGGGUCACUUCAUGUGUACUGUUUGAUAGAGGCGCGUGACCAGAAAACAUGCUUCAGUUUGUUUUCUUCCUGUAUUGAACACAGAUCAUCCCGUCUUCAAUUUAUCGAUUAUUUACUUUAAAAAAUACCUAAAGUUGUAUUACAAAAGUAGUUUGAAAUGUUUUGGCAAAGUUUACAGGUAACUUUGAGAUAUUUUGUAGUCACGUUGCGCAAGUUGGAAUCUGUGUUUUUCUGGAUCAAACGCGCCAAAUAAAUGGACAUUUUGGAUAUAUAUGGACGGAAUUAAUCGAACAAAAGGACCAUUUGUGAUGUUUAUGGGGCAUAUUGGAGCCAACAGAAGACGCUCGUCAAAGGGGUGUGGACAGGAGCCGGCAGAUAAGACGUCAACAUGCUGAGUCUUCAGAGUGUCUAACUACCAGAGGUACCGUCCUACAAGUCAACAUGAUGAGUCUUCAGAGUGUCUGACUACCAGAGGUACCGUCCUACAAGUCAACAUGAUGAGUCUUCAGAGUGUCUGACUACCAGAGGUACCGUCCUACAAGUCAACAUGAUGAGUCUUCAGAGUGUCUGACUACCAGAGGUACCGUCCUACAAGUCAACAUGAUGAGUCUUCAGAGUGUCUGACUACCAGAGGUACCGUCCUACAAGUCAACAUGAUGAGUCUUCAGAGUGUCUGACUACCAGAGGUACCGUCCUACAAGUCAACAUGAUGAGUCUUCAGAGUGUCUGACUACCAGAGGCACCGUCCUACAAGUCAACAUGAUGAGUCUUCAGAGUGUCUGACUACCAGAGGUACCGUCCUACAAGUCAACAUGAUGAGUCUUCAGAGUGUCUGACUACCAGAGGUACCGUCCUACAAGUCAACAUGAUGAGUCUUCAGAGUGUCUGACUACCAGAGGCACCGUCCUACAAGUCAACAUGAUGAGUCUUCAGAGUGUCUGACUACCAGAGGUACCGUCCUACAAGUCAACAUGAUGAGUCUUCAGAGUGUCUGACUACCAGAGGUACCGUCCUACAAGUCAACAUGAUGAGUCUUCAGAGUGUCUGACUACCAGAGGCACCGUCCUACAAGUCAACAUGAUGAGUCUUCAGAGUGUCUGACUACCAGAGGUACCGUCCUACAAGUCAACAUGCUGAGUCUUCAGAGUGUCUGACUACCAGAGGCACCGUCCUACAAGUCAACAUGAUGAGUCUUCAGCGUGUCUGACUACCAGAGGUACCGUCCUACAAGUCAACAUGCUGAGUCUUCAGAGUGUCUGACUACCAGAGGCACCGUCCUACAAGUCAACAUGAUGAGUCUUCAGAGUGUCUGACUACCAGAGGUACCGUCCUACAAGUCAACAGGCUGAGUCUUCAGAGUGUCUGACUACCAGAGGCACCGUCCUACAAGUCAGCAUGAUGAGUCUUCAGCGUGUCUGACUACCAGAGGUACCGUCCUACAAGUCAACAUGCUGAGUCUUCAGAGUGUCUGACUACCAGAGGUACCGUCCUACAAGUCAACAUGAUGAGUCUUCAGAGUGUCUGACUACCAGAGGUGCCGUCCUACAAGUCAACAUGCUGAGUCUUCAGAGUGUCUGACUACCAGAGGUACCGUCCUACACGUCAACAUGAGUCUUCAGAGUGUCUGACUACCAGAGGUACCGUCCUAAACGUCAAUGUGAAAGGUUCUGUCAUGGAAAUAUUGUAAACAUCUGUGUCUCUCACACACUCUUGACAAGAUGAAAAAGCACACACACAAACUAACACUCAAAGACACACACAUGCAAAAACAGUGCCAGGGAUACAGUAUAUAAAUCCUCAUGUGUGGCACAGAGUUGACACACACACACACACACACACACACACACACACACACACACACACACACACACACACACACACACACACACACACACACACACACACACACACACACACACACACACACACAGCCAGGGCUACAGUAUAUAAAUCCCCAUGUGUGGCACAGAGUUGACAGCCCUCUAGCGCAUAGUGAACUGCAGUAGAGCGCCCCGCCAUGUUGGCCGUCUGACUCAGUCGCUCUGCUAAAAAGGGGAAAGCAGGCGACUGGGGGCAGGGUCUGUCAGCGUGUGAUAAGACCUUCUUACUCCAGAGGCAGGAUGUCUGUGUGUGUGAGCUGCACACAGAUGCGCCCUCCCCCAUUGCACGCACAUAAUUAAAGCAGUGGGAUUUCACCUACAGUAUACUGUAUUAUGCAGUGUGUCAUUUAUGUAAAGCACAGUGAUGGCAUCACACUCAGUAAGAGUGAGCACUUAGACAAUGUAGCAUAUGACUUUGGAAAGGACGGUAGCCUAAAACCCCAAAAAGACUUGCUCCCAGUAUUAACAUUUCAGUAGCUGACGACACAAGGUAUAUUAACAAGUGGCAUUAACUUCUAAGUAAGGACAUUUAAGGUUAUGGGGUGGGGGGGGGCAU